CAUAUAUGGGCAUCCGUCAAUCUAUUAGUUUUAUGUAAUCCCCAAGCUCAAGGGCUUAGCGCUGGUACAGAAACAAUCAUCAAUAUUUCUGCCAUAGAUGGAUUCCGGGAGGGUCACUCUUAGACCAUUCAGGGUCAGCGACGUGGAUGACUUCAUACUAUGGGCAGGCGAUGAUCAAGUCACUCGAAACAUCCGGUGGAAGACCGUCACCUCUAAGGAGGAAGCCUUGACCUUCAUCAAAGAUGUCUGCAUCCCCCACCCAUGGCGUCGGUCCAUAUGUAUUGACGACCGCUCCAUCGGCUUUGUUUCGGUCUACCGGUGGUCGGGCAACGACAUAUGUAAGGCGGACAUAGCGUAUGCGAUAGCUGCGAAGUAUUGGGGGCAAGGGAUUACCACCAAAGCAGUGAAGAUGGCUGUAUCAGAGGUGUUUAAGGACUUCCCUGAUCUGGUAAGGUUGCAGGCAUUUGCUGCAGUGGAGAAUAAGGCCUCUCAGAGGGUGUUGGAGAAAGCUGGGUUCACCAAGGAGGGUUUACUCAGGAAAUACACAUAUCUCAAGGGCCAAUUGAAGGAUUUGGUGAUAUAUAGUUUCUUGUCCACUGACAUAAGCGUGGCCGUGGAUGACGAACUACUGUAAGAAAAUCAGUAGUCCCCUAAAGUAGUUGUAGUUUGUGUGCUUGAAUCCCAAUAAUUUCAUAACUAACAAAAGUUGAAUAUUUGUAAUUGGCUUUAGAGAUGGGUACAAAUUAGCAAUUUCAGACUUUUUAUAUAAUCUAAUUGGAAAGGGAAAAUUAUUUUAAAGAUUGGUUUAAGUUGAUAAUUUUGUUCCAAAGAUCAUUGGUUUAGAACCCAAUCCUAUGAGAGGUGGGAUAGAAGGUGUAGCUAGCAAAGAUAAUAAGAAUGUAUAGCUUAGCUUAGUAAAGUCAUCCAGAUAAAUGUGUUACAAAAUAACAGGAAUAAGCAAUAAGAAAAGAAUAAGAAUAUAUAAAUUUACGUGGAAACCUUAUAAGAAGAAAAAUCAUAAGUAGAAGAGAAGAAGAUCCACUAUGUCAAAAAUUGAUACUAGAAAAGAGAGUUGUAAGCAAUGUUUUCAAAAUCGGAUCGGGUAUUGAAUCGGAAAAGUUACCAAUUCACGGUUCACUGGUCGGACCGACGGUCGAACCGGUGAUGUCAUAAAUAUAUAAUUUAUAUAUUAUUAAAAUUAAUAAUAAUAAUAAUAAUAAUGAUUUAUAUAUUAUUUAAAAAUUAAAUUUUUAUUUAAAAAUCAUAAAAUUAGUUUCAAAUUAAAAUUUUAAAUUAAAAUCAGAAUUUAAAUUUAAAUUUUGAAAUUUUAAAUCAAAAACUUAUUUUAUAAUCAUAAAUUUAUUUUAAAAUUAUAAUAUUUAUUAUUUUCAUUUAUUUAAAUUAAAAUCACAAGUUUUAAAAAUCAUGAAGUAAAAAAAUAAUAGAUAUAAAAUAAAAUAAAUAAUAACGUUGAUAGAGUAAAAAAAAUAAAAAAAAUAAAAAUUGGAAAGGGCGGCCAAAAAGGUCAAAAAAUGUCAAAAAGGAAAAUAAAAAAUGUCAAAAAUUUGGGCGGCCAAAAAGGUAGGGUUUUGGGGCUAUUAGAAAAUGUAAAAAAUCUGGGUGGGAGCAUCGGAAAGGAAAGGGAAAAAAUCUAGGUAGGGAAGGGAGAGGUAGAAGGAAGGGUUUUGGGGGGCACUGGAAGCGGAAAGGGAAAAAGUCUGGGUGAGGAAGAGUGAGGAAGAAGGAAGGGUUUUGACACCAAAAAGGGGAAAAAAUCUAGGUCGGGGCAUUGCGAGGGGAUGAGAAGAAGGAUGGUUGUAGGACGGCGGUGGCACUGAGGUGAGCUGAUGAAGCGUUGGAUGGGGGAGGAGAACUAUUCGGUUCAUCGAAACCGGCAUAGUCAUUUGGUUCAUUGGUCUGACCGUGGUUCCGGCGAUCCAACGCCAGUUUAAAGGCUCCCUGGCCCAAAUGGUUGAACUGGACCGAAUUAGUGAUCGGCCGACGAUCAAACCGGUCAGACUGGCCAGUCUGGUCCAAUUUUUAAAACCAUGGUUGUGAGCAACUAUAACAGAAGUAUAAUCAUUAUCAUCAUAGUCUUAAAACUAUACAUCAUCACACACACACAUAAGCAUAAUCAUCAUCAUCAUAACCUUAAAACUAUACAUAAGCAUAAUCAUCAUCAUCAUAACCUUAAAAAAAAAAAAUCAUAAUUUUAACUUUAUCACAUAUGUUACACCGCAAGUUUUUCGGAUCAAUUAAAAAAGAACUUGGGUUACCAAAUUAUAACAAUAUGUAUAUGGGUAGAUCCCUUGGAGCAUUAAAUAAGCUACAAGAAUCUCCUAAUAUUCAACAAAAGUCAAGGCAAGGACCUUAAAAAGGAAAUGCAAGCGAUUUCUUAAAAAGAGGACAAAGACCCAAAGCUUUCCUAAUCAACCUAGAGAUCCUCAGUAUAAUCACCCCAUACAUGGUGACCUAAAAAAUAGGUUGAGAAUAACCAAAUGGAUGUUGACAUCAUGGUUUUAAAAAUUGGACCGGAUCAAUUGGUCUUACUGUUGGUCAAUCACGAUUCCGAUCCAAUUUGAUGAAUUAGGCCAAAAGAUGGUUGAAUGGAAAUUGGACCUAAUGAAUUGGCAGUUCGAUUGAUGAACCAGCGGAUUCUCUUUGAACUGGAUGGUUUAACCUUUUUUUUUUACAACAUCAAAACAAUGUUGUUUUGAUGCUUCUUGAAUCAAAAUGAUGCUAUUUUGAUGACUAUUUAAAGUAUCUUUUUCUUUCCCCCACCCCCGGCAGCCUGCCCAACUUCAAUAGCUGCCGCCUGCUGCCAACAACCCCCCCUCCCCCUACUCCAGUCUUUGAUCCCACCCACGCAGAGCACCAGCGGUCUUUGCCCCCCUUCCCCUUGCCACCCCUCUUCCUACUGCCCAACGCCCCAUGCGCCGCAACCUUUCUCCCAUUUUCUUUUCCUAUGGUGUCUCUUCCCCAUUUCUUUCGAGAUUUUUAUUUUUAUUUUUAUUUACCUUGUUCAUUGCCAUUAUUAUUUAUUUUAUUUUAUAUUUGUUAUUUUUUUAUUUUAUGAUUUUUAAAACUUGUCAUUUUAAUUUAAAUGUAAUUUUAAAUAAUUUUUAUUUUAAAAAUAGUUUUUUGAUUUAAAAAUAAAUUUUAAGAUUUUUAAUUUUAAUUUCUAAUUUGAAACUAGUUUUCUAAUUUUCAAAUAAUUUUAUUAUUUUCAAAUAAAAUUUUAAUUUUUAAAUAAUAUAUCAAUUAUAUUAUUUUUAUUUUUAAAAUUAUUUUAAAAUUUUAAUAAUAUAUAAAUUAGAUAUUUAUAACGACGUCAGUUCAAUUGUGGUUCGAUCGUCGAUCCGACUAGUAAAUCAUGAACUAGUAAUUCUUUUGGUUCAAUGACUGAUCUAAUUCUUAAAACAUUGGUUUACAUAGAAUAUCCAUGCAUAAUGAGGAUAUAAUGUUCUAGUUACGGAAGUCAAGGGUUGCCAUUGAUGGUCAAUAAAUAUGUGGGACAACAAAGAAACGAGUGAAUACAUAGUUUAUUAUUCAAUUAGCCUAAAGAUUUCAAAUAUUUAAUUUUAAGAAUUCUUUAAUUAAUUGGACAAUUAAUCAAUAGAUUAAGAAUUCCAAUCAUACACAUACACAAGUGAUUUACAUGAAAAACCACUUAUAAAGCCUUAUAAAGACUUUGUAAAUAUACAAUCAAGGGAUCAAAGACUACAAAGUUGUAAUUCACUAACUAUGAAGAAUUAAGUACACAAAUUUAUUUAUUGAUUGCUAAUAUCUAAGACUUACAUCCAAUACCUAUACCUUACUUUAUGUCUGGAAUGCAACACUACCGUGCUUCUUAAUAAACUUCUCGAUGUUAUAAGAGGAUGUAAUUCUCUCUCACGAACUUAAGAAUGAAAGCAAACACCUUUGAGAGUUUUAGGUAAUGGAAAGUGUAAGGACUUUUUAGGCUCUUUUCACAUAAAAAAAAAAAAAAAAGAAACUUGAAUUUUACAAUAUGUAUAUAUAUAAAGUAAGGAACUUUGCAAACUUACGUAUAAAUGGACAAAAUAGCUCUAAAUAUAGAACUUGGUAUAUUUUUGAGUUAAAAAAAGGAAAAUACUCAAUCCAUUAGGAAAAAAUUGUAUUAAAAAGGAUAAUAAAUUAGAAAACAAGUGAUUCUAAGAAUAAAGCACCACUAUCAGAUCAACCCCCCACACCCCCCUCAAUUUGUCAAUUUGAGUCAGCUGUAGCUCAUGGUCCACCAUGAGGUGGAUACCAAUCAAUAUCAGUGGUUCAAAUGGACUCGGUUGAAUGGCGGAAAGUGCACUCAAUAUCUUUUCCACUUCUACUAUUAUUAAGCUGGAGGACCAACACAUUGUUGACAAACAACGAGAAAUAUGAGUAAUCCGUCUGUCAGUUUCACAUAAUCUCUCAGCCCAAGCGCUCAGCGCUGAUCUACAGAGCAAUGCAUUCAGUAUCUUUGGCAUAGAUGGAUUCCGAGAGCCUAACUCUUCGACCAUUCAGGGUGAGCGAUGUGGAUGACUUAAUACUGUGGGCGGGUGAUGAGCAAGUCACUCGAACCAUCCGAUGGAAGACCAUCACCUCUAAGGAGGAAGCCUUGACCUUCAUCAAAGAAGUCUGCAUCCC
rnacentral:lncRNA from 1 species